rnacentral:rRNA from 1 species
UACGGAGGGAGCUAGCGUUGUUCGGAAUUACUGGGCGUAAAGCGCACGUAGGCGGCUUUCUAAGUUAGAGGUGAAAUCCCGGGGCUCAACUCCGGAACUGCCUUUGAAACUGGAGAGCUAGAAUCUUGGAGAGGCGAGUGGAAUUCCGAGUGUAGAGGUGAAAUUCGUAGAUAUUCGGAAGAACACCAGUGGCGAAGGCGACUCGCUGGACAAGUAUUGACGCUGAGGUGCGAAAGCGUGGGGAGCAAACAGG